UCAGGGCCAUUGCUGAUUGUGAAG
rnacentral:misc_RNA from 1 species